GGUUGGGCUGUUCGCCCAUUAAAGCGGUACGCGAGCUGGGUUCAGAACGUCGUGAGACAGUUCGGUCCCUAUCCGUCGUGGGCGUAGGAAAUUUGAGAGGAGCUGUCCUUAGUACGAGAGGACCGGGAUGGACAUACCUCUGGUGUACCAGUUGUCGUGCCAACGGCAUAGCUGGGUAGCUAUGUGUGGACGGGAUAAGUGCUGAAAGCAUCUAAGCAUGAAGCCCCCCUCAAGAUGAGAUUUCCCAACUUCGGUUAUAAGAUCCCUCAAAGAUGAUGAGGUUAAUAGGUUCGAGGUGGAAGCAUGGUGACAUGUGGAGCUGACGAAUACUAAUCGAUCGAAGACUUAAUCAA
rnacentral:rRNA from 1 species